GAUGAACGCUGGCGGCGUGCCUAACACAUGCAAGUCGAGCGGCAGCGAGGGGUGCUUGCACCCUGCCGGCGAGCGGCGGACGGCUGAGUAACGCGUGGGAACGUGCCCCAAAGUGAGGAAUAACUGCCCGAAAGGGUAGCUAAUACCGCAUAUUAUCUUCGGAUCAAAGGAUUUAUCCGCUUUGGGAGCGGCUCGCGUCGGAUUAGGUAGUUGGUGAGGUAAUGGCUCACCAAGCCGACGAUCCGUAGGUGGUCUGAUAGGGUGACCAGCCAGACUGGAACCGAGACAAGGUCCAGACUCCUACGGGAGGCAGCAGUGAGUAAUCUUCCACACUGGGCGAAAGCGUGAUGGAGCAACGCCGCGUGCAGGACGAAGGCCUUCGGGUUGUAAACUGCUUUUAUAAGUGAGGAAUAUGACGGUAACUUAUGAAUAAGGAUCGGCUAACUACGUG
rnacentral:rRNA from 1 species